GAGCAUUUGAAGUUCCCCUCAGGCCGCUGCUCUGACUCACCGCUUUCCAACAGGCAGGGAAUGCUGCCCUGUGGGCAUCGGCUGUGGCUUCAGGGCUGUGCUGCCUUGAGGAGGAUUUGCUGGGAAGAACUGGAGAACAGCCCCGGGUCUGACCUGGUUCUGACUCCGGGAGGACGAUGGUGCAGUGAGCAGCAGAUUUCCACGCUGCAGUGUCUAGCUGACUGCAGAUACAAGAAUCACUUUGCUCACCACCAACAUGGAACCACCCUUGGCAAGGCCAUGGCAGCCAUCACACAGCACCUUGAGAAUUACUGCUCCCAUUCGAAGGAUCACCAGGGCAUCUUUGAAGCAGGCAAGAACCAACCAGAUCCGACCCUGCUGUAGGUCACGAACAUACUGAAAUCCUGAUGGCGGAAGAUGCAGAGAAUAUAUCAAAUUCUGUUUGUGUGGAGAGACUGAAAUAAUAAGAAAAUCCUCAGCUGAGGUAGGGGCUCCCUGGGGUCUCUUUUUAAGAACACUUGGUAUGUGAGGCUCUUU
rnacentral:lncRNA from 1 species